AGCGAACGCUGGCGGCAGGCCUAACACAUGCAAGUCGAACGAACUCUUCGGAGUUAGUGGCGGACGGGUGAGUAACACGUGGAACGUGCCUUUAGGUUCGGAAUAACUCAGGGAAACUUGUGCUAAUACCGAAUGUGCCCCUUCGGGGGAAGGAUUUAUCGCCUUUAGAGCGGCCCGCGUCUGAUUAGCUAGUUGGGUGAGGUAAAGGCUCACCAAGGCUACGAUCAGUAGCUGGUCUGAGAGGAUGACCAGCCACAUUGGGACUGAGACACGGCCCAAACUCCUACGGGAGGCAGCAGUGGGGAAUCUUGCGCAAUGGGCGAAAGCCUGACGCAGCCAUGCCGCGUGGAUGAUGAAGGUCUUAGGAUUUGUAAAAUCCUUUCACCGGUGAAGAUAAUGACUGUAGCCGGAGAAGAAGCCCCGGCUAACUUCGUGCCAGCAGCCGCGGUAAU
rnacentral:rRNA from 1 species